AAGAAGGUGGUAACAAACCUUGGUAAAAUUUAGUCCAAACCAUUUGAUAGAACUUUAUCCAUAAUUGGACGAGCUUUACACAUAGUUUCUAAAGGCUUAACUUUAUGAAUGGUGAUACCUCCACCUUCAGUCAUGUCAACCUUUUCACAUCCUCCAGCCUUUUUCCACUCAUAACACUGAAUCAAUAGCCCCAAAGUCAAUCCUAUAAAACGUAAAGCCAUAGUUUCCCCAGGACAAGCCCUCCUUCCAAUUCCAAAAGGAAUGAGUUUAUUGGACUGCAACCCAUUCCCUGCCCCCAAGAAUCUCUCCGGUCGGAAGCUCGUCGGGUCGUCCCACAGCUUCGGGUCUCUAUGAAUUGCCCAAGCAUUGACCAACAACGUCGUCCCACGUGGAAUGUUGUAGCCUGCGACAGUACAGUCGUCAGAGGAAUAGUGCGAGAGGAGCAUCGGUGCUGCGGGGUGCAAUCGAAAGGUCUCAGAAAUUAUAGCUUGAAGGUAGUUAAGGUUGUUGAGAUCUGCUUCCUCAAGGGGUCGAUCUUGACCAAUCUUGGUGUCUAUCUCAGCUUUGGCUUUAACUAAUACCUCCGGAUGGUUGAGUAGUUGAGUCAUGGCCCAAUCCAAGGUCACAGAUGAUGUGUCUGUUCCUGCACGCAA
rnacentral:misc_RNA from 1 species